rnacentral:lncRNA from 1 species
CACACAAGAAAUCACCUGAACAAAACCUCCUGAACAAAACCACCUUUUUCUUUUUUUGUUUUUCCAUGAGAAUAUCUUUCCCUUCACUCCUUUUGGAGAUGUUUUCCCUGCAGUGGGGAAGGUGCUCUCCAGGAGGAGCCUCCCCAGCUCUCGUGUUUGCCCCAGCCUGGGGAGAGGCAGGUGCUCGGCAGGGGCACCCAGCACAGGUAAAUGAGAGGUGCACAGAGCAGCCAAAAGGGGAGCUCUGGGGCACAAUGGCAGCUUCUCCUCCAGAGAUAUUAACUGUCUUUCACUGUGCUCCUGGCAGAAGAAAGCAGUGGGUUUGUCCCAGCAGUUCUGGACAAGAUUAGUGGGUAUUAUAGCCAUGAGAGGAUAUUUCCCUCCAAACUGGGAACUGAAAUGGGAUACAAUCCCCCUUCCCACGACACCAGGAGCACAGCCACCAGUGCACCUUUCAGAGGGGCAAGGGGGCUCCAUCAGCUGUACCCAUCUCAACACAGCCAGGGAAAAAUGUAAUGCUGGCUUCACCUGGGCUGGAACUGGGCACAAACACAGCUCUGCACUGUGACUCCCUCUGCUCUGCUCCCCUCUGCAGGGAAAGAGUUAAAGGCUGGAAAAGGGCCAGAGGCAAAGGGAGCUCUAAAGCCAGGUGGAAGGAACAACUGCUCAGAAGGAGCACUCACUCACUCACUCACUCACUCACUCACUCCACAUUGUCAUCCCUGGCAAUUAUGGCAAAACAAACAGGGAAAGAAACUUGCAGGGGAUGGAGUUGUUUCAGUAACACAUCACCAUGAACAUCCUACAGGUGGAACACAUCCCACACCUCCUGGUUGCCUUUGCUCUGGGUGACUGCUGUCUAUCCCGCCUCCUUAACUCAGAGCGAGAAAACACCCUUAAAAGCAGGGGUUCUAGAAGAAGAUAUGGGACCUUGCUGUCAGCUACGGCACACGGUGCAACAGAACAGAUCUUCAGGCCCCUCAGGCUGGGUGGAGGCACAGCUCUGGAGCUGCUUGGAGACCCUCAGAUCCCCCAGAGCUGUUUGAAGUCCUCCUCUGUCUACAUGCAGACUGCUUUUUGUCUCAGAAGAUGUCAGGUUCAAACUGAGGCUGCCACCUUCGGUUCUGGGCACAGCAGCCCAAAUUUGUUCUACAGGAACAUCUUUUGGGAAGGCACCCACACAAUGCCUCCUGGUGAAACUCCAGCUACAACAGCUUUAACAUCUGCAACCAAAAUCAGUGUUCAGACGAGUGUUAACCCACAGUUCCCCAUGGAAGGGGCCAGUUUCACCCCAAAGCUCUUCAAGUGUCCUGGUGCUGCCCCACAGCAGAGGGAGGGGAUCCCUCCUGGAGCUGCAGAGCAGGGGAGAGCCAGGGGAGCAGUCUGCCUUGGGAACCCUUCACUGCCACCCCCUGAGCUGCUUGCAGGUGUAACUAGCCCACAGUGUGGGCUGGCUUGCCAAACCAGGGGCCUCUCCGGUGCCAGUGCAGCCCAGCUCCCGAAUUCCCACGACGAGGAAGAAGCUUCAGCUUGUGCAGACACUGCUGUCAGCCCUUUGCAGCCUCUUAUCCCUGCUCCAGGCAUGGAGGGAAGCAGAGCAGGGCUGGCAUUUCCCUGCCCUGCAAGGGAAGUGGAGCAGCUCUGGGUGACUGCAGUAACGAGGUUCUGCAGUCCAUAACUUUCCACGGUGCAUUUCCUCCCCCAGGAGCCACAGGCUGCUUUACUGCAAUCACACACAAACAGGUCUCAGUGCGCUUCUUGGCGGUGGAUAGCAGGAAGAAAACCCUCAGAUAACUGUGAAAUGCUCUGGUGGAACCUGCAGAAAUGUGGGCUUUAUCCUGGCUGUGGGACCAGCUGGAGGGUUGAUUUCAGAGGAAUCCUUUAACCCCUGGGCUGCAGAAGAGGAACUCUCACCUGCUCUGUGCUCCUGUCAUGCCAGCGUGGGCUGAGCUGCUCCUGGCACCCUGCUCCCCACCUCUGGCAGCCAGGAUGAGACCUUUACCAGCACCCUGAUCCACAAAACAAGCUCUUAUUUCCAGUGUUGGUACGGCUGCAGCCGGCUGACAGAAAUCCCCUAACGCCUGUAAAAAAAGAAUAAUAAAAACAUUUAGUAUAACA